CAGGACUUGACAUCCCUCGCAUAACCUACAGAUAGGUGAAGCCCUUCGGGGCGAGGAGACAGGAGGUGCUUGGUUGUCGUCCGCUCCUGUCGUGAGAUGUUGGGUUAAUUCCCGCAGCGAGCGCCACCCCUGUUGCUACUUGCUACCAUUGAGAUGAGCACUCUAGCCAGACUGCAGGACAUAAUUCCGAGGAAGGUGGGGAUGACGUUACAUCAUCGUGCCCUUUAUGUCCUGGGCUACACACGUGCUACUAUGGCCGAACCACACGGCAGCGACCUGGUGACAGGAAGAUAAUCCCUAGAAAGCCGUCUUACUUCGGAUUGAAUGCUGCAACUCUCCUGCAUGAAGUCGGAGUUGCUAGUAAUCGCAGGUCCUCAUACUGCCGUGAAUACGUUCCC
rnacentral:rRNA from 1 species